ACGGAAGGCAGCAGUGGGGAAUAUUGCACAAUGGGCGAAAGCCAGAUGCAGCGACGCCGCGUGAGUGAAGAAGUAUCUCGGUAUGUAAAGCUCUAUCAGCAGGGAAGAAAAUGACGGUACCUGACUAAGAAGCCCCGGCUAACUACGUGCCAGCAGCCGCGGUAAUACGUAGGGGGCAAGCGUUAUCCGGAUUUACUGGGUGUAAAGGGAGCGUAGACGGUUUGGCAAGUCUGAAGUGAAAUGCGGGGGCUCAACUCCUGAACUGCUUUGGAAACUGUCGAACUAGAGUGCAGGAGAGGUAAGUGGAAUUCCUAGUGUAGCGGUGAAAUGCGUAGAUAUUAGGAGGAACACCAGUGGCGAAGGCGGCUUACUGGACUGUAACUGACGUUGAGGCUCGAAAGCGUGGGGAGCAAACAGGAUUAGAUACCCUGGUA
rnacentral:rRNA from 1 species